AUUCCAGCUCCAAUAGCGUAUAUUAAAGUUGUUGCAGUUAAAAAGCUCGUAGUUGGAGUUCAGAGUGAGCUCAGCCGGUCCGCCUCAUGGGUGAGUACUGGUCGACUCUCUCUUGUUUGUGAAUCCCGCCCGGAGUUAAUUCUUCGGGAUGUGGAGUUCACAUCGUUUACCUUGAAAAAAUUAGAGAGUUCAAAGCAGGCGUUUGCUUGAAUAUAUUAGCAUGGAAUAAUGGAAUAGGACCCUGGUUCUAUUUUGUUGGUUUUGAGAACCAGAGUAAUGAUUAAUAGGGAUAGUUGGGGGCAUUCAUAUUUCAUUGUCAGAGGUGAAAUUCUUGGAUUUAUGAAAGAUGAGCUUCUGCGAAAGCAUUUGCCAAGGAUGUUUUCAUUA
rnacentral:rRNA from 1 species